AUACGGAGGGUGCAAGCGUUACUCGGAAUCACUGGGCGUAAAGGAUGCGUAGGCGGAUAAUCAAGUCAAAAGUGAAAUCCCACGGCUUAACCGUGGGACUGCUUUCGAAACUGGUUAUCUAGAAUAUGGAAGAGGCAGAUGGAAUUAGUGGUGUAGGGGUAAAAUCCGUAGAGAUCACUAGGAAUACCGAUUGCGAAGGCGAUCUGCUGGGACAUUAUUGACGCUGAGGCAUGAAAGCGUGGGGAGCAAACAGGAUUAGAAACCCCGGUAGUCC
rnacentral:rRNA from 1 species